AUCUUCUCCUCAUGAAUCUACGCUCUAAAAAUCAGAUCUCUAUCUGAUUUGGAAGUACUUCAGAACUCCUUCUGAAGUUGGAGCAGCAGCCUGUCGAAGAUGUCCUGCAGCCUUCCUGUUCCAGGCAUCACCACGCCUUUUCCUUGCACCAGAUGAAUGUCCAACUCCUUGGACGUGAAGAGGGGAGAUAGGAGAGUAGGGAGGAUGUGGAGA
rnacentral:lncRNA from 1 species